rnacentral:rRNA from 1 species
AGAGUUUGAUCCUGGCUCAGAUUGAACGCUGGCGGCAGGCUUAACACAUGCAAGUCGAGCGGGGAAGGGUAGCUUGCUACCUAACCUAACGGCGGACGGGUGAGUAAUGCUUAGGAAUCUGCCUAUUAGUGGGGGACAACAUUCCGAAAGGAAUGCUAAUACCGCAUACGCCCUACGGGGGAAAGCAGGGGAUCUUCGGACCUUGCGCUAAUAGAUGAGCCUAAGUCAGAUUAGCUAGUUGGUGGGGUAAAGGCCUACCAAGGCGACGAUCUGUAGCGGGUCUGAGAGGAUGAUCCGCCACACUGGGACUGAGACACGGCCCAGACUCCUACGGGAGGCAGCAGUGGGGAAUAUUGGACAAUGGGCGAAAGCCUGAUCCAGCCAUGCCGCGUGUGUGAAGAAGGCCUUUUGGUUGUAAAGCACUUUAAGCGAGGAGGAGGCUACCGAGAUUAAUACUCUAGGAUAGUGGACGUUACUCGCAGAAUAAGCACCGGCUAACUCUGUGCCAGCAGCCGCGGUAAUACAGAGGGUGCGAGCGUUAAUCGGAUUUACUGGGCGUAAAGCGUGCGUAGGCGGCUUUUUAAGUCGGAUGUGAAAUCCCUGAGCUUAACUUAGGAAUUGCAUUCGAUACUGGGAAGCUAGAGUAUGGGAGAGGAUGGUAGAAUUCCAGGUGUAGCGGUGAAAUGCGUAGA